rnacentral:rRNA from 1 species
UGCAGAAUCCCGUGAACCAUCGAGUCUUUGAACGCAAGUUGCGCCCGAAGCCAUCAGGUUGAGGGCACGUCUGCCUGGGCGUCACAUAUCGUUGCCCGAUGCCUAUUGCAGUGCAAUAGGAAUUUCUAGGGCGAAUGAUGGCUUCCCGUGAGCGUUGUUGCCUCGCGGUUGGUUGAAAAUUGAGUCCUUGGUAGGGUGUGCCAUGAUAGAUGGUGGUCGAGUUAGCACGAUACCGAUCAUGUGCAUGCCCCCCAAAAUAUGGCCUCUAUGACCCACACGCGUCUUUUGACGCUCAUGACGAGACCUCAGGUCAGGCGGGGCUACCCGCUGAAUUUAAGCAUAUCAAUAAGCGGAGGAAAAGAAACUAACAAGGAUUCCCUUAGUAACGGCGAGCGAACCGGGAAGAGCCCACCAUGAGAAUCGGCCGCCCUCGGCGUUCGA